AUUCGAUCUUCUUCGUCUUCCUUUACUUUCCGCGUUUUCCUCCAUCCUGGAACCCUGGACCGCGCGCCGCCUCCACCUUCCUCGGUCGUCGACCUUGCUCUGCUGCUCCUUUCCUUACCUGUGAACAUCGAACCGUCGCUACCCGCCGACGUCCUCAAAUGCCAAACCUAGUUCUUCCUAAUUAGGAUUGGAGAAUCAGGUUGGAGCCAGACAGGUGUAUGAUGUAGAUGCCAGCAAUAUUGCAGGAAUCAAUUGAGCAAGAUAGACAUAAAAGAUUAUAAAGUUAGCUUUACUAGUUUUGAUAUCGAUUGCCUAGGUUUUACAAAGUUGUCUUGUUAUCCUACAGAUCAUAAUGAAAGUUGUGGAGAUGCACUAGGAGCUAUUGUCCUCCAAUGUGGAGCAGAUUCACUUACUGAG